rnacentral:lncRNA from 1 species
CUUCAUGCUCCUCAUCCUGCGGUACAUGUUCUUGACCUGGGGGAUGUGAGUACAACAAGAGUGAGUUCACAUACGUUCAUCGCUCAACAAGUUAUGGGGAAUAAUGUGCAUGAGCUCACUUAUAGUGGGGCUCAUGUGAAGUGUAAGGCUUACCAAAGGAAAUGGUUAAUGUUGAGCAUUGCUUUUAAAGUUGGUCAAAGUUUUAUUAGCAGUUACUGAGUAUAAGUAUAUACCAACCCAAAUAAAUGAGAGAUCACAAUUAAUAACAACACCCACAGUGCAAUGCAUAUGACAAAUUAAGUUUAGUUCCAUAAAUUACUCAUGUGAGGGUCCGAGCCGCUCAUGAUCGUCAGCACGACUGAUAUACCAGUUUUACACUCUGCAGAGGUUGCGCAUCUUUACCCACAAGCCGUGUUACCCAUUUGCCACGGGGUCAUGAAUCCCAUACACCUCUACCGAGGAUGCAAAGCAGGGUAGCACUACGAGGCCUUUACAAAGUUCCACUAGCUUCAAAAACCCGCUACAGUUUCUGAGAAGGGCGAUAUAGGAACCCUCAUCCGGAAAGCCAUCGCAACGUGAUUGACCCGAGAACCUCCUAUACCACAACUCCUAUACCGCUCUUGCCCCUUUUGGGUAAGGUAGUCCUCCACUAGCUUUCCUAAUUAGUCAGCCAAGGGCAUCCCAUACCACCCUUGUGGUAGCACUGUUUUUCCGGGUGGUCGAUCCAUGUUCCAAUUAACAUAAUGAUCUUACCAUGAAUAGUAAUUAAAACAAAAACAAAAUUGGAACAUGAUCAUAACAUAACAUUAAUUUCCUAAAACUAGGUAGACCAAUAGCAAAUCUACCCAAUAGUUCUUUUGUUUGCAAGGUGUGGGAUAAACAAUGCUAGGGAAUCCAAUUAGGUCCCAUCAAAUUAACCUGAGCAUGUCACAGUGAUUAAGGAGAGAAUGUUAUUAGGUAGAGAAAAGUGAUCAAGGGCACAACUUGCCUUAGACUUGAGAUCCUAGGUCCUUUACAAAAUUAGUCUUUGGUGAUUCGUGACCUCGCUGCUACUCGUAGCAAUACAUACAAAUAGACAAGGAGUACAUAAAAAUAACAUUACACCAAACAUGAGAAUAAACAACGUAAGAAUCUUCUACAUGAUGCUACGAGAUCGUAGGUUCGAAAACGACUAAAAUCAAGGUUAUGGUUGAAAAGAUAUGGCUCCCGAAAGACAUAUGUGAUUAGGAAGUUAAUACUAGGUCUUAUGUUGAUUUUAUAAAUCAUGUGAGAAAUAUAUUUUAAGGAAUUCACUAAUUCAACUUUACUCUAAGUCAUAACUUGAUUAGAGGUUAAAUUUUAGUUCAAUUAUAGCUAUGAUAUAUUAACUUUGAUUAGAAGGAUUAAUCUACUAAGCAUAGGUUAAAUGAAUGUCUAUUUUUGAAAACAUAUUACAUGAUAAAAUAAUGUUAUGAAAGCGUAGGUAAUAUUAUUACGGAGCCAACGCAACUAGAACGGACUAAUUCAGAUCUAAAACGAAGAAGUUAUGAACCAAAUAAAUUUUGGGUGGUUUAUUAUUAAAUUUUAUGCUGAAAAUAACCUCGAGGGAUGGUUUUAUAAAAAACUAGGGAACCUAUUGUAAGAUUUUCCCACGGAAGGGGGACGACGAGUUUAAUAUAACAAAGGCGAGGGGCUCAACGACCGAAGAGGUAUCGACCAACCAGAUCUGUCCGAUCACUACUCAACUGUCACGAUUAGAUAUCAAGUAAAGUGAAUCAGUAUGAGGUCGUGGCCAUCAGAUUGCUGAUCGACGGCACAGGUUUUAAAGAAUCAAGGUCCCACUGGGAUAGUCUAGAUCGAAUCUAAUGGCUGAGAUGGACUCUACAAACUGGCACGGAUCAAACUAAUCGCAGUCGUUGGUGAAGGGAUCAGCGGUCCACACACUUCUUCCCCCAUCCAAGCCCGGUACGACGGCACCGCCCAACGCCCACAGUAGCUCCCCGCCGGUGCAAGCCACCCCACGCCCAGACCAUCCCAAGGAUCGCCGGUGAUCGGAAAGGAAGGCAAUGGAAAGGGUGAAAUCGAGGAAGGCCCUCAUACCUGGAAUUGAGCAACGGAACCCGUUGUCCACGGAGCCAUGCGGACCUGAGGUAUUCUUGAACUCCGACGAGCAAUUCCAUUGUACCCGGCCACCCCAGCGGCACUGGUGGAGAUCCCUGACCUGCCUUGGACUCCAAACGGCACCAUCGGUGAAGUCCCAUGGCGGUGACAACCUUUCUCUCCGCGCGCACGUUGCCCCCGAGGGUGAGGAGGAGGGGCCACGAGUUCGAUUUUAUAGCAUGGGGCGAGGGCGAGCUUGGCCUGUCUAGUUCCGAGAUUAGCGCAGAUUUUAGGGGGGAUUUUUUUGUGGCUCCCCGGGCGCCA